rnacentral:rRNA from 1 species
UACGAAGGGGGCUAGCGUUGCUUGGCAUGACUGGGCGUAAAGGGCGCGUAGGCGGACUGCACAGUCAGGCGUGAAAUUCCUGGGUUUAACCUGGGGACUGCGUCUGAGACGUGUGAUCUAGAGUGAGGAAGAGGGUCGUGGAAUUUCCAGUGUAGAGGUGAAAUUCGUAGAUAUUGGAAAGAACACCGGUGGCGAAGGCGCCGACCUGGUCCUUGACUGACGCUGAGGCGCGAAAGCGUGGGGAGCAAACAGG